rnacentral:rRNA from 1 species
AUUGAACGCUGGCGGCAUGCUUUACACAUGCAAGUCGAACGGUAACAGGCCUUCGGGUGCUGACGAGUGGCGAACGGGUGAGUAAUGCAUCGGAACGUGCCCAGAGGUGGGGGAUAACGCAGCGAAAGCUGUGCUAAUACCGCAUGUGAUCUGAGGAUGAAAGCGGGGGACCAGGCAGCAAUGUUUGGCCUCGCGCCUUUGGAGCGGCCGAUGUCAGAUUAGGUAGUUGGUGGGGUAAAGGCCUACCAAGCCGACGAUCUGUAGCUGGUCUGAGAGGACGACCAGCCACACUGGGACUGAGACACGGCCCAGACUCCUGCGGGAGGCAGCUGUGGGGAAUUUUGGACAACGGGGGCAAGCCUGAUCCAGCAAUGCCGCGUGCGGGAAGAAGGCCUUCGGGUUGUAAACCGCUUUUGUACGGAACGAAAAGGCUCUGGCUAAUACCUGGGGCUGAUGACGGUACCGUAAGAAUAAGCACCGGCUAACUACGUG